CACUGGAUGUCCACCAUCAUUUUAGGAAGUUUUAGAAAUAAUUGGGAAGCGUAUUUUAACGACCCUAGACCAUUGGAGCCCGAGAGAUUAAAAGCAUUGCGGAUUCAGUGGGCACAGUUUUAUCUCCAAGUUAGAGAUCAGGCCCAGGAUUUAGAGACAUUUUUUAACAUUUUUGACAUUUUUUACAUUUUCUAUGUAACACGAACAUUGAAUUCAUUUGUUGAUUGUUCUUUAUAAUAUAUAAAUCAAUUAUUU